rnacentral:tRNA from 1 species
GACAGCGUCAGGGUGUGGCUGUGGCUCGCGGCGCUGUUGCUGUCGGUGAUCGCAGGCGUUCGGUUCACCGUGUUGUUC